UUGACACCUGAAAACAUGUAUAACACCUAGCAAUUGAUCCGGUUUGCUUCAUUCAUCACACCAUAUCAGUCAUAAAAGUCGUCAUUUCAUGCAGCAAAUACAUCGCACCCCAGGAAACGUACUUUUAAGUAAAGUUUUGAACGAGGCUUAAGGAUCUCAUUGUUGCUAUGUGAAAUUUCUUUUGCUUAAAGAUGGGUCAGCACAGGCAAAUUGACGUGACUUACGAAGAACACGCACGAUUAAAAUACAGAAGAGUUCGUGCAUUGGAACAGUAUAAGAUAAUAGGAUGGGUUUUACUAAACUGCAGUAUCUUAUCCAUAACAGUUGGAAUAGUUAUUGCGGUGGUUGGGCGAGAUGUUGACAGUUUUCCUAUUUCAACUGGAAGCCCAAUUUGGUCUGGACUCGCUGUUUUGAUAGUGUGUGUGUUUGCCUUUAUUGUUGGUUGUUAUAACCCACAUUUUUUCGAUGAAGGAGACAGUAACAAGCUUUUUUCAUGGCUUUUGACAUAUAUCAUAUCAGCUAUUAUUGCGAUAAUAUUAUGUCUUAUUUCGCUUGGUUUUACGAUACAUGGAGCAGUUCGAUGUGGAACAUGGAAAUACGAAAAAAACCAGACAAUUCUAAAAUGUGGGUAUAAUUAUGACGUUCAGAUCGUCAUGCAUGUUGCUGCAAGUUUACUGGCCAUUUUUGAGAUCAUAUUUUUGAUUUACGGAAUUAUUAUUUACUACGUUUACAAGGAGGUUUACCGGUUCUACGAAUGGGAAAUAGCUUACUACGAUGAAUAUUUUUAUACAGUGCCAAGAGGUGAACAUCGAUUUGUUGAGAAUGCUCGAUACGUAACAACAACCGAAAAAUCACCAGUUUCGGAGCAUUACGUCACAGCUGAUAAGCCUCGCUUUGAUGUCGUUGAAGGGUCUACUUACUCGACGAAUAGCGAUAUGAAGCCAGCGAGCGUUGUGUCUGAAUACAACACAUCAAACCACAAAUACUUAGUGUUGCGCUUGGAUCGUAACCAAAUAAGACCAUUGUAAAAGUGUUUACCUAAUAGACAUCAUGUGGAGUCUUGAGAUUAGAAUUAAGUUUCUUGAAUAUUGUCCUAUUUUACGGUAGAUUUCGUCAUAUUCUAGUCGUUUAUAACGCUAUAAGAGGGCUUAUGGUUUAAAAGUAGAUUCAGUUGCUUUAAUCUUGAUAAGAUGGUGCUAUUACGUCACGUGUGCACAAGUUAAAUGUCCACCAAGCAUUAGUCUAAUAAGAUUUGCAGCAGCCAGGAGGCUUUUGCUUCACGUGUACACAAGUUAUACAUAUACCCAGAAUGUGUCUGGGGAGGGAUAAAUCAUGUGACAAAAUAUCUAUAAAAGAAGGAAACCUGUCUUAUUGGCUUACUAUGAAUAAUCUGAUGAAACAAACUUGGCAGGUCCAAUAUGUUUAGUGAUAUUUUUUUUAUAUAAUAACUUGCUCUUUUAUGCAUAAAUGAACUCAUUUUAUGUAUGUUUAAAUAUAUCUGUAUUUAUUUAUAAAUAAAAGGAAUAUGUAUUA